AAACUCGACCAUAGGCCCAUAGCUGUACGUUGAAGUUGAGAAAGAUUAAAUGUUCCGAUCCACUGGUUUAUACCAGCCGCUAGGCAAAAGUUAGCAACUAAGAAAAAAGGUUAAGGCAACACUUUCCCCAAAUUGCAAACUUGUGCAUGUUUGUUACGGGGGGAUAGGACUGGACUGGACUUCUAUAAGAAAUUAAGCUUAAUCCUACGUUUGGCGGAGCUGGGGACUCUUUUUAACGAGCAUACGGAGUCUCCGCGUCCCCUCCGCACCUUCUUACGGAGCGGCCCCAAAUAUGGGCGGACUCCAUAAGCUCGCGCUUCAUAACGUUCUCGUCUCUCUCAACUUCGCUGCAGAAAGAUUCUCAUCUCUCUCAACUCAACUGCUCGAUUGAAGACUCGCCAACUGCUCCAGAUAAGUAAACUAAGAAUUCCAGCAAUGAUCAAUUAGUGUUAGACAAUUUGGUAGCUUGGAACUUUGGAUUGAUGCAUGAGAACCGCACUGGGAGAGUAGUCACUAGUCAGUAUUGGAUCCUUUGAUACUCUCCUUCCCCAUUUCAUGGACACUACUUCUACUUGGUGAGUUGCCCAGUUUGAAAUAGGAUCAGACAAAUAAGGUUGUUAUGUUUCCUACUUGUUAUAAGCUCUGCAACUUACACGCAAACAGAGGACUCAACUGCUCAAGUGCAAAGGACGAAGUUCCUCGCCUCUCUCACUCUUUGCUUGUGAAAUUCCUCCUCUCGUUGCCGAUUUCAGACGGAGGACUCAACUGCUCAUGUCUGAUACUUUGUUAGCAUGUGGGAUGCUAAUUAGGAGUUCACUUUGAAGUUGUUGUAUUAUUUGGUGGACUUGACGAUGUGUAAACUAUUUACUCUUAAUUUUGAUUGUGGUGGCUUACUAAUCUAUGAAGUUGAAAUUUGGAUGAAAAUUAUGUUCAGUUCUUAUAAUUAUAAUUUGAUCAAAGUGC